rnacentral:tRNA from 1 species
GCGGGCAUAGCUCAGUCGGUAGAGCAACGGACUGUUAAUCCGUUGGUCGUAGGUUCGAUCCCUACUGCCCGCG